rnacentral:rRNA from 1 species
AUGGGCUGUGGGGCGUCGAAAUGGAAGGACCCCGGUGUUGUGCGCCGGGGGAGGCCAAGAAGCGUCGGUGAGGUGGUCGUCUUCCUCCCAGGGCUGAGGGUACCAAGAACCGUAGACUUCUCGCAGUCUCUCGCGGAUCACCUGGACAAGAGCACGGUGGAGAGGCUGUCGGCUCUAAGAGCAACGGUCGUGGCAAUGGCAAUGCAGGAAUCGGCCAUGGCCCUCAAGCCGAGGCGAAGGACGACGCGGCACGGAGGGUCUGGCACUGCUAAUCUUCUCCGGGCUUUGGAAGAGUACCUACCAGUUCUGCUAGGACUGGUGAAAGAAAGCAGUGGUCUGAGAAACAAAGUGCAGUUUGUUUGGGCUAACCAAGAGGACGAUGCUGAGGAGACAUCCAUGGCGGAUGCUUGGUAUGAGGUGCUGUCUGUGCUGCACCUUAUGGCCAUGGUGUGCUUCCUGCAGGCCAACUCUCUGCUUCUUCCGAGGUCAUACGGCGACGGCCAUGGGCCGAGGGUGUCUGAAGAGAGCAGGCGAGCCACUGUUGAUGUUUUCUUGAAAGCCGGUGGGUACUUGGAUUGUGCAAUUAAUCAAGUACUUCCGCAGAUACCGCCCGAAAAAAGAAGGGCACUCCCGGUAGAUCUAGUUGAAGGAAAUCUAAAAGCUCUUAGCUUGCAAGGACUUGGCCAGGGAGUUGAUAUGCAACUUGGAUUGGCAAUUGAUAAUCCAAAGGCCACUUUAGCAGUCAAACGACGUUUAGCUUGCGAGAUGGUCAAAUAUUGGCAGCAGAUUAAGGAUAGCAUACCGGAGCUUCCUUUGUCAGAUGGAUGGGCAAAAAAGCACACACUAUUUGUAAAGUGGAAGUAUGCUGAAGCAAAGGCUGCUGCAUACUACUUCCAUGGGUUGAUUCUUGAUGAGGGAAACACCGAGAAAUCACAGGAGAUGGCAACAUCAUCCCUACAAGCGUCAGAGGAGUUUCUGAAAGAGAGCAAAAGAGCCUCUGAGGUCUUCCAUUCGACUCCUCCGACAUCAAGGAUCUCAACUCCUUUCGGAACAACCAAACAUCUCUUGGACAUGAUCCCACAAGAGACAUUAAGCAAGCUCCAGAAUAACCAGGACCUUAACACCCAAGAAAGAACAUCAAAUACCGGAGUCAGCCGGAUCAUCACACCGCCGCCUCCAUUGCCAGAUUUCCCUUUGGCCCUAAAUCCUGAGGAAUAUGAGCUUCCCCAAUUAGACCCACUGUUGAAGAAGGAAGCUAACCACUAA